rnacentral:lncRNA from 1 species
AAGCAGCGGGAAGAGGAGCUCCAUGGCAUCCUGGCGGAAUUAGAGGCCAAGAGUGAAACGAAGCAGGAAAAUUACUGGCUCAUCCAGUACCAACGGCUUUUGAACCAGAAGCCUUUGUCCUUGAAGCUGCAGGAAGAAGGCAUGGAGCGGCAGCUGGUGGCCCUGCUGGUGGAGCUGUCUGCUGAGCACUACCUGCCCCUCUUCGCCCACCACCGCAUCACACUGGACAUGCUGAGCCGGAUGGGUCCUGGAGAUCUGGCUAAGGUGGGCAGCCAUUGUCUUGGGGGAAGUCAGGAAGGCCCAGCAGGCCUGGACUCAGUGUCACAAAGGGGUAUGUUUGGUCAGUUUGUAGUGAGUUGAGGUCUGUCCAGAUCAGGUGACUCUAGGGUUCCAUGAAUCUCAUGGCCAGAACCGCUGCCCCCUUUGCCUCUGCUCACCUGUGCACUCAGCCUGUCUUCUAACUGGCAGUGAGGACUCUGGAUCCUGAAUGCGGGGCUCUGGGCCAGCCUCAGCUUGUGCAAUGGUGCCACACAGUCUCAUCCCUGCCUGAGCUCCAGUUACAUCCUGAUCACAAUAAGAGCUCCUUAUUCAUGGAAUUAACCCACUUCUCUUUAAAAUAAAACAAUGCUGAUGGUCGUCAAC